rnacentral:rRNA from 1 species
UACAGAGGUCUCAAGCGUUGUUCGGAUUCAUUGGGCGUAAAGGGUGUGUAGGUGGCGCCGUAAGUCGGGUGUGAAAUUUCGGAGCUUAACUCCGAAACUGCAUUCGAUACUGCGGUGCUUGAGGACUGGAGAGGAGACUGGAAUUCAUGAUGUAGCAGUGAAAUGCGUAGAGAUCAUGAGGAAGACCAGUGGCGAAGGCGGGUCUCUGGACAGUUCCUGACACUGAGACACGAAGGCCAGGGGAGCAAACGGG